rnacentral:rRNA from 1 species
AUUGAACGCUGGCGGCAAGCCUAACACAUGCAAGUCGAACGAGUGGCGGACGGGUGAGUAAGGUCUGGGAAACUGCCUGAUGGAUGGGGAUAACUACUGGAAACGGUAGCUAAUACCGCAAACAAACGGCUGUGCCCAGAUGGGAUUAGCUAGUAGGGGGGGUAAAGGAUCACCUAGGCGAAGAUCCCUAGCUGGUCUGAGAGGAUGACCAGCCACACGGGAAUGGAGACACGGGCCAGACUCCUACGGGAGGCAGCAGGGGGGAAUAUUGCACAAUGGGCGCAAGCAUGAUGCAGCCAUGCCGCGUGUAUGAAGAAGGCCUUCGGGUUGUAAAGUACUUUCAGCGGGGAGGCGUUACCCGCAGAAGAAGCACCGGCUAACUCCGUGCCAGCAGCCGCGGUAAUAC